GUUGGGGUGUGGUUGGUUGGGGUACCUUGAGAGGAGGAGUGACAACAUCAGUGGCUUAGGAUACUGUGGCCAGAUGACUCUACUGAUGCCAGCAAGUUCCAAGCACUGGAGGGAGAUUAGAAACUUCCAGGUGUACCUCCUCUGUCUGCGUGCUGAUUCACCAGCUGCUAUCAUGAGAUGCCGGAUCAGAGAUUACCAAACUAUGAACAUUUCCUAUAUGCUCAACACCAUAAUUAUGAGUGCAUCAUCUUUUUCUUUCUCAUGUAGAUUAUUGACCUUGCCAAAAUUUAAAUAUGACAGGAAGAAAGUAUAUUAGUGAAAGCCAGGCAAGUAUACUUAAAGAAGAAAGAAAAGAAAGAUCAUCAGAGUUUCAUCAUGUCAAAACUACUUUUACACGGUGGAUCUUAAAAUAUCUAAUGAUGAAAAUUAUAAAAAUGCUUAAGAAACUUCUCAGUAAUCAAAAGUAAAAUUUGAUUAAGCUAAAGAAAAGACUAAAUAAUCUUUACAUCCACCCUAUAGAAAAUCAUAUUUCAAAUUAUGGUUCUAUGAACAGAUGAUGAAAUAUUAUUCUGGACAAAUUAAGAACAAAGUAUACAGGAUUUCAAAGAAAAAGAUCAUGUAGCUGGAAGUCUAAAGACAGCAUCUUAUUCCAGAACCAGGCCUAUGGAGAGACCCCAGGGAUCAAGGGAGUACUUAGGAGUCAGAAAGAGAAAAAUUUGAUGAUUCCUUGAUGUCAACAGCAACUACGAAAGUGGAAUAUAGGGAACUUGCUGCAGCCUACCAAGAAGUGCUGUGGAAAAAGAUUUGAAAUCAGUGACCAGAUAAUGUGAGUUUUCCCUUAUGGAACUGUUGAGGCUGACCACAUCAGGUCCUGCCAGAGACUAUAUAAUUUUUUCCACUUCUACAAAUUGUAUUGAAAAUUUCAAUGUGGUAAUUAUUAAUCUAAAUAAUAGUUCUUAUGAAAAGGCUAAAGCAAAUUAGAGCAUCAGAAAUCUGGAAGUUAAAUGAUCUUCUGAAAUUUGCAUGAUGAACUCACUGUUGUGGAAGAAUAAGUAAUAAAACAGCUCUACUCAUGCUGAUGAACAAGUGGGCAGGGGGAAUGGCGAGGGAUGCCAUCACUAAGGAAACCGUGAUCAUAGAGGAAUGGUGACAGCAAGAAAGCGAACACACAAGUUAAACUUUGGUUUAAUAAGUAAGUAAUCUAAUUUCCUACUUUUGGGAGAUAGUUGAUGAUAGAGCACUGGCAGAACCUCAUUGUUGAAGUUAGAAAUAUAAUAUUUGUUAAGUAUUGAUUUAAAAAGUAAAUGAAGUGACUUCUAUAAAAGUCUGAAAGUUGUUUUGCUGCUUCUUUUCCCUUUCUGUGAGUUUUGAACUCAAUCAUUACAGUUCAGUAGUUU
rnacentral:lncRNA from 10 species